UUUUUUGAAUCAUUUAAUUAUUUAUUAUUGAAUUGAGAAAAUUGUACUAAUCGAUUAUAAAAGUAAAAAAAAAAGACAUCUACAGCAUUUGCCAUGCGAUCAAAGUAGCCUUCCUUGGCUCUUCUCUCAGCCAAACCAUUGCUAAUUCUUUCAAGCCUCCAAUAGAAACAAAUUAUAGAACAGCAAAUACGUAAUCAACCAUCUACAGCUCCGCAAAAAAAUUACUCGCACUGCUGUUGGAUUGCCCUUUUUUCUUCUUGCUCCCUUUUUUAGAACUUGGAGGAUUAAUAUCAACAUCCAUCUCAUCACUAUCACUGUCAGUCACAUCAUCUUGAUCCUUUUGAGUAUCUCCAGAAUUUUGCAGUAAAUCAUCCAAAUCCCAAAGCUUCAACAUUUGAUCAUGUGAUAUGCUGCCGAGAAAUUUUCUGUCGUGAGAAAAAGCAAGGCGCUCAAUGGGAUACUCUGAAUGCUCCGCAAGUGGUUGGAUGAUUCUGUUGGGUAAUAUGCCUACCAGACUGAUGAGUCCAUUCUCAGAUCCAGUAACGACCCUAUCUUCAUCAAGCUUCAACAAAGCAUCAACAGAGUUUGGCGAGAGACCAACAAAGCGAUCACUGCAAUCCUUGAAAAACCCCCAUGAAUACAAUAAUAGUGUUCCAUUUUGUGAUCCACAAAUAACCUUCCGACCAUUCUUCAUAAUCACAACAGACAGCAACUCUUCUUCAGAAAACUCAGACCGUGUUUGGACCUUAUUGCUUCGAAGGUUGCAAACUGAAAGAGUCCCAUCACCACUCGUCCCUAGGAGUUUCAUGGAAUCAGAGGCAAAAGUCAUAUCUGAAACAUAGUCUUCAUGGGCAUUAAAAGAAUUACAACAAGACCGUUGCCUGGUAUCCCACACCUUAAUACAUCCUUGAUCAUCCCCAGUUGCAAUGGUCGACUCAUUGAGGUUGAUCAAACUAAAAAUGGCAUCCUCAUGAGCGUUUUCAACACGAGCAAUCGGCGAUCCAGUUUCUACAUCCGUUGCUAGAAUUGAGCGAUCACUUGAAGCAGUCAAAAUUGCCUGUCCACCGUUUAUGAACCGAACGGCUCUACAGGAGUCAUCAUGCGCUUGCACCUCCAAUAACCUCUUUUGUGACGAGAAAUCAGCAGUAUACCGAUAUAGGUGAAGAUGGCCAGUGAUGAGAGCAGCAGCCACCAUAUGAUCCUGAGGAUGGAAAUCCAUGCCAAAGGGAAUUUUCCCUAAAUCUAUCUCCAUCUCGCUUGCCUCGUCUUCUCUUCUGUUGUGUAUUUUCUUUUGUGUUACGUAUUCUGCUACCAAAGCUCCAAAACCCUUCUUCAAUGGCGACUGGCUAA
rnacentral:misc_RNA from 1 species